CCUACGGGAGGCUGCAGUGGGGAAUAUUGGUCAAUGGGCGCAAGCCUGACCCAGCAACGCCGCGUGAAGGAAGAAGGCUCUCGGGUUUGAAACUUCCUUUCGCAGGGACGAAGCAAGUGACGGUACCUGAGGAAUAAGCCACGGCUAACUACGUGCCAGCAGCCGCGGUAAUACGUAGGUGGCAAGCGUUAUCCGGAUUUACUGGGUGUAAAGGGCGUGUAGGCGGGACUGCAAGUCAGAUGUGAAAACCACGGGCUCAACCUGUGGCCUGCAGUUGAAACUGUAGUUCUUGAGUACUGGAGAGGCAGACGGAAUGCGUAGUGUAGCGGUGAAAUGCGUAGAUAUUAGGAGGAACACCGGUGGCGAAGGCGGUCUGCUGGACAGCAACUGACGCUGAGGCGCGAAAGCGUGGGGAGCAAACAGGAUUAGAUACCCUGGUAGUC
rnacentral:rRNA from 1 species